AGAGACUCUCCAUCUCUACCUGCCUAGCCAGCCCCUAACUGCCUCCUCUCACAAAAGGUACAGUGACCGGCCCUAGGUCAUGCAGAAAUUUGGCUGGCAGAGGGGACAAGACCUGCAUGAGGCCUAGGGACAGAACAUUUUAAGGCCAAAGCCAAUGCAUAAAGCUGAGCCCUUACACCUGUGCUGGAUGAAAUCCCAACCCUACAAUAAGAAGUUACUUCCUCUGACAACACCUGGGUUCACUGAAAAAAGAGGAGACAGAAAGCCUCCCGCAAACCCAGCUCAGGAUGAUGUGUCUUGCCUUGUAGUCAGCUUUGCCCUCCCUCAGUGGGAAAAGGGGCCAAGUUCAGUGCUGCCAGCAAACACAGGGCUGGCCUGGUGACCGCUGUUUACAGCUUGCACUGGGGCCCAGGGAAAAUGGCAGGGAAGGGUCCCAACUGGGCCACUUUAAGAACACACAACCCCAAACACAAGGAAAGGGUGAAGGGACUUAUUUGGGAAUUUCCAGCUGGAGGAAAUGGGUUUUCUUGGUUUCUGUUCUGGGGGGUCUGAGAACAUGGAACUCCAGUUCAUCGAGGUGUGGGGUGUAUCGAGGAGGAACCAGCUUACAGGGGGCCAGCCGCAGUGCCUCAGUUCCCAAGAACAGGCCACACUCCUGGGCUCUUCCUCAGGCUUCUGGCACGGAUGCCUCACAGCUGCACACUGGCACCUGAGAGACAAUUACUCGGUUUUUCUGUAAUGAUGAUUGCUAUUCUGAAGAUCAUGUUCAUGGAUAUACUGACAAGUUUUGACUUUUCUGUUUCUUUUAAGAAACUGUUCCGGGGAGUCCUGCAUUAGAACAAUGCUGCUGCUCUCUACAGUUGAUUGGUCUGGUCAGCUGACAGUAGAAGUUGUCCCCUGGGAGGUUGCACACACUAUUUCUGCGAUGUCCCAUUGCUCCAAACACCUGGCAUGGGCAAGAGGCUCCAGGGAUGCUGGACUAUGGGGUUCAGCCAAAAAUCCAGCCCCUCUCAAAGGACAAAGAUCAACCUUCCAGAACAAUUAGCAAACACUUCUCAGAGUCCUCCAUGCUGUGCAGAUGCCAGAAUGGACUAAGACAUCCUCCCUGGGGAAAGCCCCCACCUCAGCCCCACUGUUUCUCUGCCUUCAUCACCCAGCACCCACUGGAAUGUCAGCUCCACCAGGGCAGGGCCUUCUUUGUCCCAUCCACUGGACAGGACCUGGCUGUGUUCCUGGCCUCGCCCACUGAGGUGGCUAAGGUCUGCCUGCAGACACAGAUGCAGCAGUUGCGGCCCUUGGCCUCGGGGCCUUUGUCUGUGCCCCUCGUGUGUCCUGUGUCUCCUGUAUGUUCAGUGUCCAAGUACCAUGGGCUGCUGCACUGCCUGGCCAUGGUGGCCCAUGAGGAGGGGCUGCACAGCCUCUACAAGAGCAGCUCAGCCCUGCUUUUCUGGGACAGCCACUCCUUUGCCACCUACUUCUUCUCCUAUGCUGCCCUCUGUGGGUGGCUCGGCCCCACUGGCCAUAGCCAGCCAGGUGAGCAGGGGCUGGGACUUGGAAGGGUGGGGACCCCAGUGGGAUGAGGAGGCCCAGGUGAGGUCAUGCCACAUGGCAGUACCUGAGUAGGAACUUGAACCCGGCCUCCUGCCUCCCAGGGUGUGAUCUUUGUUUCCCUCAACACUAAGAGACAGCAGGGAGGGGCGAGCAGACUCAUGCCAGUGCGUCUGAAGCUCCAGCCCUCCCUUUCCUGGUGCCACAUGGCAUCCAGUGAUGGGGGCCAUCAUGGGCCAGGGCUGGCAGGUCCAGUGUGAAGCCACCAGGUCUCCACCACAGCAGCCCCCUGGCAGGGCUGGGAGCCACCUGCCUUCACUACAUUCCCUCACGGACACUGAUCUUGAGGUAUCUGUGGGCUGUAUGCUGUCCCAUGUUCUGCUGAACAAAACUGAUUCCGGAACAAGAGGUGGACCCCCUCCUGAGCCUGCCCCUGUCACACUGGUCUCUGUAUGUGUGGUGCUGUGGGCACCAGACCUUAUGUCCUGUGCCCUGUGCCAGGAACACCCUCUUCCUGCUCGGCCUGGCUGGUUCUACAUCCCAGGCGUCACCUCCUCCAGGAAGCUCUCCCUGCCUGACCACCAGGCUUCUCCCAGGUGUCUCCUGCUCUGCUCUCUUGAGGCCCUGUCUGGGUGUGUGGUCACUUGUCUACCUGCCCUCCUCCCACAAGAGCCUGUGAGCAGUGUAAGGACUUCAUCUGGCUCCAGGGCUGGUGCACAGUAUGUGCUCAGAGGGUGUGGAAUGAAUGAAUGAGUGAAUGAAUGAAUGAAGUCCUGCAGUGGAUUCCUGGGAGUGUGUCCAGCUUAGGAGAUGCAGAGGCUGAGAUGCUCUGGCCAAAUGCUGGGAAAGGGAGGCAGCUAAGAGAGAGUUUCCACUGUUCAUCAAAUGCUGACCCCAGGACCACUUUGUCAAGAAGACCACACCUGCUCGGGCUUGGAAGGAGGGUUCCUGGUAGCACUCCUGGCCCAGCUCCAGCAGCAGCUGCACCCUGGGAGGUGGGGGCCUUUGGCUUCCCUGAGCCUGUGUCACUGAGCAGCUGGCUCCAUGUGUGUCCGGAGCGCUGUCACUGGGGAGGGGGUGCAGGUUGUACAGGAGCGGCCCCUGUACUCAUUGUCUCUACAACCUCUACCGUAAUGAUCAGAGAUUACUGGGCCUGCGGCAAGGCCCAGCCAGCGUGGCCCUGGGGAGAACACAUCACAUCUGCUGGUGCUGCAGGCGGGGGCUGGGGGCCAGAGGCAGACCUGUUUCUCCCCGAGCACUAUCCUGGAGCGGCAAGCUGUUCUGCAGCUGUCCCUGUGUGCUCAGCCACCCUCUACCUUGGAUCCCCGCUCCCCUACCCAUUGCUCUUCAUACACCGUACCCUUUCAGACAAAGUUGGCUGGUCUCCCUUCCAGGCUGGGGACCACAGGGCAGCAAGGCCAAGCUUGGUCAGUACCACAUCUGUCUGACAAGAGGACAUUACCAGCUGGAGUAGGAGUGCUCUUCCGGCAGAGCCUACGGCACCAUGGUGGUGCUGGCAGCCGGCCUCACACCUCAUCUCCAAAUACCUGCGGGGCCACUGCUCCUGUCCGUCCUAAUCCAGAUGUGCCCUUGUCUCUCAGGGAAAAAUUCUCUCGGAAACCCCUGGACUUUAGCAAAAUGGGGGAGGUAUGGGAGGUGUGCAGCCCUCCUCUGCCCUGACCAGCGGUGGCCUUGGGCAAGUCACCUGACUAUUGGACCCAGGGCACCCCUCCUAAUACCCUAAAUAGGAGGCAUCACUGCUUUUUACAGGGGAGAAGAUGGAGGUCCCAGGAAGUUAAGUGACCUGUCCAAAGUCACACAGCUGAUGAGGGAAGAAGCUGGUCUGUGUUGGCUCACUCCCUUCUGGGCCCACAGCCCUGCCCAGGCCCUGCCAAUAGACACUCUGGCUGGGUGGACCAUGACAGCAGCAGCUGUCAUUGACUUCACUUGUUGUCCCUCAUUGCACCUGCCCCACAGGUACAAUGGAGCUACAAUAAGUUGUAUUAGUUGCCCAGGGCAACAUGGCUGGUGAGAUGCUAUCUUCUGUAAGUGGUUCACUCCCACUGGCCACAGCCAGCCAGGUGAGCAGAGGCUGGGCCUGGGAAGGCAGGGAGAAGGGCUCAGCCCAGCAGGAAUCAAGGCUGGGAAAGGAGGCCUACGUGAGGUCAUGCUGCACACCAGUACCCAAGUGGGACUUGAACCCAGGCGUCCAGCCUCCCAGGACUGGAACCUUAAUUCCCUUAUUUGUAAAAUGGUGCUCCUGUGUAUCUGUGUGGAGACAGAAGCACCAAGAGCCAGGACAGGCUCACUGUGUCAGAGUCACCCUGUGGCCUUGGACAAGCCAUGUUCCCCUCUCCUAAGCCUCAGUUUCCCCACCUGCAAAAUGAGGAUAGUCCGGUAUAGUGAGCCCAAGUCUCCCUUGCAGCUUGGACUCUGCCCUGGGCCUCAUGUGAAUGGGGCCUGGCCUGGCUCCCAGCCUGUGCUCCCCAUCACUACACAGCCCCACCAAGCACCCCAUGGCUGGCCCCUCCUCUGAGAAACAAGGACAACCUCUACUUGUGUUCUCCACCAGCUGUUGGGAAUGUGAAAUGAGGUGUGAGAGGGAGCCCGCACCAAGACACUGCUAACGGCUGUCCCAGCACAAGCCCAUUCCUGGGAGCCUACGACUCGGCACGGUGGGGUUCCCGGGAUUGUGCGUUUUCCCCAGAUUUUGACCCCAGCAGACUCAAGGCCAUCCAUGAAGAGGGGAAGGGAGGGGACUUUGUUCCCUCCUCAGACCUCCCAGACAGAGCACAGCACCUCGUGCGGGAGCCAAAGAAGUUUAUUUACUCCAAGGGGCGGCAGGAAGGCAGAGCGCUCAAGAGGAGAGACCCAGAUAUAUCGACCAGGGGCUCCCCUGAAAUUUGGAAUUUCUCUUCCAAGCCUGAACAUGGCAUGUGAUUAAAUGCAGCCUGUCCAGACACCAGUGAGGGCCUCUAGGGCUGCUUGUGUGACUUUCUUCCUAGCUACGUCCACCCAUCCCGGACACAGCCAGUGCAUUGCUCUGUACUGACUUCCAUUGCGGUCAAUUGUCAAAAUGAAACAUUUGCAGAGGUAAUGACUGCUCAGCAUCUGACACAGUCAGGGGAAAAGACACCGCUGACUCUGCAGGAUGGAGGGUCUAGGAUCCAUUGGCGGGAAAACACUAGUCAAGGGAAAUGAGCAUGAUUUCCGGAGUAGAAUACAUGCAUGGUCUGGAGUUAAGUAAACCGGAAAGUUUCACCCCCAAGACUCAAUUUAAUAAAAACUGCCCAACUCUGUUCACUCUUUAUGAUUAAAAGCAGCUUUAAAGCUGGCUGAUUUCUUAGUCAAAUGUGUAGCAAAGCUUUUACCUAUCAAUUUUUUUCGUGGUGAGUCAUGGGCUGAAAUACAUCUUGCGCUCAAUAAACUUCCCCACAUCAACAUUUCAAAGCACUUUUUAGGUUACAAUAAUGAUAUUUCACUUCCAUAUAUGCAUACAUAGAAUAUAUAUUUUAAAAUAGAGUGGGUUUUAAGAGUAUACUGGGAGCCCUAGGAGUCUUCUAUGGACAGAACAGGUUGGCCCAUGGACUUCCAGCCAAAGGCUCCAUGCCUUGGGGCUGCUUUGGGGGAGAGAUUCACAGCUGGACUUCUCUAUCUGACCAUGCAAUGUCAGCACCAAUCACCCACAAUGUUUUGCCCUCAAGAGACAGAAAUAAUGAAACUCAGAGGAAUAAACAGUAUUGAUAACAUACACAGGCUUAGAGAAACCAAGCCCAGUAAUGAUCAUGUGACGGAAGACUACAGGUAGCGGUACUUUGAUUGGGCUGGGAUUAUUGAUAAAUCACGUCUCUUUAUAAGCAUAUAUAAAAUGAGCACGACUGAACUCAUUCGUUAGUGAACUCUUUCACUAACUCGUCCAUGACCUCCUUGCACUGGGCUUGGUGCUCUGUAAUCACGGGCUGGAGAACCUCUAUGAGCAUCUUCUUGAGGUCACCAGUGAGCAUGUCUCUGCUGGUGUCAUCCUGCCCUCAAAAAGACAGCCAUGGUGAGAGAUGGCUCCACAUGCCCUAAGUGGCUUCUUCCUGCCUCAGACACCAGGUCAGCCCACACCACCCUUGCAGAGCCAGGCGUGCAAGUGGCACUUAGAAGUGAAAUCUGUUGUUACCAUGACAAACAGCUGUACCUUCAGCUACACUUUUCUUAAAACAACUAGAAACCUGGCUGUGGCAGUAGCCAUAACUUGGUCUCUCAUAGUGAAAGGGCCAAUGAGGAGGGCAGUCCCCACCUCCACCGACGCUAGGGACUGCUCCCCCAAGCAUAAACAACAAUAAUUCCUGGCAGCCUUAUGGCCUCUGUAAAAUCUUGCUGAUGUUUUUCUUUUUCUGAUUGUAGUACAUGCUCAUUAAACAAAUUUAAUAAGGUACCCAAACCACAAAACAGCAGCAAACUGAAGAAAAAAAUCACCUACAAUUCCAGUGCCCAGAGGUGGGGCCCACUGCUAACAUUUGGCACAUUUUCUUUACAUUUCGUUCCCUGUGCAUUUCAUUUAAACAAUUAACCUCUCACUGCAUUUUUCAUUUGGUGUUCUUUUUUCAUUAUCCUAGGCAUAUUCUCCUGUGUCACUAAAGUCUUUUUUUUGUUUGUUUUUUGUUUUGUUAAAGAAAUGAGUGUCUCAUUAUGUUGCCCAGGCUGGAUUUGAACUCCUGAGCUCAAGGGAUCCUCCCGUCUCAGCCUUCCAAGUAGCUGGGACUACAGAUGUGUGCCACCAUACCCUGCAUAUGAAAACUCUUUUAAAAUAGUUCAUGUCCCCAUAAUAACCUAUCCUGUAACAAUUCUAAUUUAACAUUUCCUCUGUUAUACAGUUUCUUUUGAACUUUUUGCUAUUAUCAUUUUAAUGUCUUGGUGUGGAAAGCUUUUACAUAUUCAGGAUUAUUUCCUUGGAAAAAAUUCCAAGAUUUGGAAAACUGAGGCAAAGCUCUGAACAUUUUUGGGCUCUUUGUACCUGGUACCAAACUGCUCACUGAGGCUGUGUGGAUGAACACUCACAUGGGUGUGCCUUGAAGCAUCUGGUUUACAAUCAUUGAAAACACAGUCAAGGGCAACACAAAAACUCUGGUAAUUCUAUAGUGAAUUGUCUCAGCUUUGAUCAUGUUAACUUAUGUUUCUCUGGUGACUAGUAAGAUGAGACUGUUUUGUGUGGCUACUAAAUAAAUAGUAAUUUAUAUCUGCCCUUUUGCGAUUUGUUCACGAGGUUUCUGAGCACAUGUUUAAAAAAC
rnacentral:lncRNA from 1 species